rnacentral:rRNA from 1 species
ACGGAGGGUGCAAGCGUUAAUCGGAAUUACUGGGCGUAAAGCGCGCGUAGGCGGCUCGGUCAGUCAGAUGUGAAAUCCCAGGGCUUAACCUUGGAACUGCAUUUGAUACUGCCAGGCUAGAGUAUGUUAGAGGAAAGCGGAAUUCCAGGUGUAGCGGUGAAAUGCGUAGAUAUCUGGAGGAACAUCAGUGGCGAAGGCGGCUUUCUGGAACAAUACUGACGCUGAGGUGCGAAAGCGUGGGGAGCAAACAGG